rnacentral:rRNA from 1 species
GACGAACGCUGGCGGCGUGCUUAACACAUGCAAGUCGAACGGGAUGAUCUUAAAGCUUGCUUUUAGAGAAUCUAGUGGCAAACGGGUGAGUAACACGUAGACAACCUGCCGACAGGAUGGGGACAACAUUCCGAAAGGAAUGCUAAUACCGAAUGAAGUCAGAGGAGGGCAUCCUCCUCUGAUGAAAGAUGGCCUCUAUUUAUAAGCUAUCACCUGUUGAUGGGUCUGCGUCUGAUUAGCUAGUUGGUGAGGUAACGGCUCACCAAGGCGACGAUCAGUAGCCGGUCUGAGAGGAUGAACGGCCACAUUGGGACUGAGACACGGCCCAGACUCCUACGGGAGGCAGCAGUGGGGAAUCUUCCGCAAUGGGCGCAAGCCUGACGGAGCAACGCCGCGUGAGUGAAGAAGGUCUUCGGAUCGUAAAGCUCUGUUGACGGGGACGAACGUGCGGAGUGCGAAUAGCGCUU